rnacentral:rRNA from 1 species
AGCGAACGCUGGCGGCAGGCCUAACACAUGCAAGUCGAACGAAGUCUUCGGACUUAGUGGCGGACGGGUGAGUAACACGUGGGAACGUGCCUUUAGGUUCGGAAUAACUCAGGGAAACUUGUGCUAAUACCGAAUGUGCCCUUCGGGGGAAAGAUUUAUCGCCUUUAGAGCGGCCCGCGUCUGAUUAGCUAGUUGGUGAGGUAAAGGCUCACCAAGGCGACGAUCAGUAGCUGGUCUGAGAGGAUGAUCAGCCACAUUGGGACUGAGACACGGCCCAAACUCCUACGGGGGGCAGCAGUGGGGAAUCUUGCGCAAUGGGCGAAAGCCUGACGCAGCCAUGCCGCGUGGAUGAUGAAGGUCUUAGGAUUGUAAAAUCCUUUCACCGGUGAAGAUAAUGACUGUAGCCGGAGAAGAAGCCCCGGCUAACUUCGUGCCAGCCGCCGCCGUAAUAC